UACGAAGGGGGCUAGCGUUGCUCGGAAUCACUGGGCGUAAAGGGUGCGUAGGCGGGUUAUUAAGUCAGAGGUGAAAUCCUGGAGCUCAACUCCAGAACUGCCUUUGAUACUGAUAGUCUUUGAGUAUGGGAGAGGUGAGUGGAACUGCGAGUGUAGAGGUGAAAAUUCGUAGAUAUUCGCAAGAACACCAGUGGCGAAGGCGGCUCACUGGCCCAUUACUGA
rnacentral:rRNA from 1 species